UGACAUUUUAGCUGUACAUAUCAUAAUACGGUUAGUUUUUACUGCAAUAAAAUGCACAGAUUUGUAUUCAGCAAUGUCUCACAAGUAAAACAAUACCCCUCAUUAAGCGUUUUUACGGUGUUUUGGAAAGUUACAGGGUAAAAUAUAGCACAUUUCAUUUUUCUGUUUUUUCACAUUGAAAUUUGCCAGUUUGGUAAUGUUACCUUUGAGAUCAUAUGGUAGCCCAAGAAUGAGAAUUACUCCCAUGAUGGCAUACCAUUUGCAAAAGUAGACAACUCAAGGUAUUGCAAGU